GUGGGAAAGGGUUGGGGGGCGGGGGUGGAGAGCAUAGCAUCAGCAAAAGAGAAAAAGAAUAAAAAAGCGUAAUCUAUCGAAACAAAAAAAAUUAAUUUUUUUUUGUGGGAGGGGGAGGGGACCAGAAUGCGUGAUAAGAAUAAAGAACAAAGAUGAGGAAACUGGAGUGAAUCAGAAUAGCCCAUCAGUGCUUUGGUAUUCCCAGGGAUCCUAUAAAAGGGGGUGAACUACAGCUCCAAAACGGGGAGUCGGAGAAGUGCGCAGCAGCCGCGGCAGCUCCGCGACGCUCCCUUUGGCUACUCCUUCGCGCACUCUAACUCACUCACUCUUUUUUGGAUUUCGUCAUCUUUUCAAAAAAUCAAUAAAAAUAUUCUGGAGGCUCCGGGGGUCCACUUCUUGGUCUCAUCCGGAUCCCCAGAUCCUCCUCUAUCAUUCCCGACAAUUGGAAAAAAUGUCUGGGGGGGUCCCUGCGGCCCAGGGGCCGCUUUUGGGGGGGCGGGUGAGGAGAGGUGGGGAAGAGAGGGGGAGGGAGGAGAGGAGGAAGAGCGCCGCAGCCUCGGCAGCUGGAGUCGGAGCAGGGGGGGAUGGUUUCAAAAAAUAAUUAAAAAUCGAGGAAAUAUCCUAGAAAAGCCCUUUUGGCGUGAAAACCCCAAAGAAGAGCCAGGCUUCCCGAAACAGAGGUUUCGGGUGCCAGAAAGGUGUAAGCCUUUUUCUGGUUCACUACAUGCCAAGGACUGCGCUAAAUCAUUCACAUAAAACCACCAGCGUGCAUCACCUCAUUUGGUCCUCCCACAGUCUAACGGAAGAAUCUACCAUAAAACCAACAGACUCCUCCUGAUCUCUACCUGUGCUGUCUGCCUCUCUAGUUCCGGACACUGAGAGCUGGUGCCCUGUGGCCACCUCAAGCUGGAACCCUGCAAGAUCACCAAGAAGACUGCAUGCCUCGCUCUAGCCUUCCUAAGGGAAAGUAGACUCCUGUUUUUGAGAGAAAUUACCUGAUUUCAAGAGAAACAUAAAGGACUUUUUUUCCCUUAACAUUCCACUCGUAAAAAUGAAGUUUGGAAGAACUUCUGCAAACUCUGAGUGUUUUGGUCAAUUGACCUUUUACUGUACUAAGCAAAUCUGAAGCCACAAAUACAUUGGGGAGGAAGGUAUACCCUUCACAAAAGAUCCGUCACUUAGCCAGAUACUCUGUUGCCAUGCUUCUUUAAAUAAAGCACAUUUCUGGU
rnacentral:lncRNA from 1 species